CCUUCUCCCUCUCUCUAAACAUCCUUUUUUUUUUUUUUUUUCCAAACUCGAAGAUCUAUUCCCUUCUCCACAAGAAAAAAAAAAAAAAAAAUAGAGGGAUCUUUUCUCUUCUUGGUUUAUCCACGUCUUCACUAUUAGCCAUCAGAGGAUGUUUGAGAUAUUGAAAGAUUAUUGAGCGCAGAAGAAGCUUGAAGUCACAAGCCAUAGGUUUGAUUCAGAUAUGCUUGAAAUGGCAAGCCAUAGGAUUUUGGAGGAAGUUGUCGUUCGCUCGAGUGGGUUAAGAUCCGUUGAUUAUUUAUUUUGUUGCCCUCUUUUAUAAAACAGUAUGAUUUGUUUAAGUUUUGUCCAAUCAAUACAUGGUGAUCGGUUGAUAAACACUGGAGCAAUUAUAUGGUUUAAGCAAGAGUUAUUGGUCUCAGAGAUGUAACAUCAUAGCAACAUAGAGAAAUUCUAGUUCCAAGCUGUUCUAUUCCAGAUGGAACACAUAUAUAAGAAGAAGAUUACUUGGAGGCAAAACGAUUACUGAAGCGUUCCCGUCGUCCUAUCAUUAAGAGCAUUCAUAUGGAACCAACUUCUAUCCCUGAGUUGGUGAAGAAUGAUAAAAGUUCAAACCAUACUUGUCCAUAUAUAGGACUUAAAGGUGGAGGAUGUCCAAUUGGAUCAGUUCCUAUUUGAAGAAUUCAAAUUGAAGAUUAAGUUCCCCUUUUGUUAUAUCUUUUGGAAGGAAAGAUACCUCAUCACAACAUCGGUGGGCUGUGGUAAAAGUGCUUGGAGAAUUUUAUGGAACCAGAGGAGUCCUUAAUGUUUGGAAUCCUAAAGUCAAUUCUCCUGAUCAAUUUUGCAUUUCUCAGUUAUGGAUUUUGUCAAUGGGGAGGAUGAGACCAUUGAAGCAGGGUGGCAAGAUGCAAAGACAAGCAAUUGGUGGCUAUACUAUCAGGAAGAAAUUGUAAGUUAUUGGCCAAGCACUUUGUACAAAGGUUUAAGGAGCGGUGCAACAACUAGGGUUGACUGGGGAGGUGAAGUUGUGAACCUGGACACCAAUAAUGGAAAGUGGCCUCCAAUGGGUUGUGGUAAUUUCCCUGAUAAAAAUGGAGCAAACUAUGGCAAGAGUUGUUACAUUUCGAACCUCUCGAUUUUCCAGAAAGACUCCUCCUGGAUUGACUAUCCUCUUAAAACUGAUUUUUUUAAGUAAACGUGAGUGUUAUGACAUAGUCGACUAUGGCUCGAUUAAUACUUAACGUAGAAGAGUUAUCUCCUACGACAGACCUGGUGGUUCAUGUUAAUUACAUGUAUUUCUUUCUACAACUGAUUUCAAAUAUAU